UACGUAGGGUGCAAGCGUUGUCCGGAAUUAUUGGGCGUAAAGAGCUCGUAGGCGGUCUGUUGCGUCGGCUGUGAAAAACCCGGGGGCUCAACCCCCGGGCCUGCAGCCGAUACGGGCAGACUAGAGUUCGGCAGGGGAGACUGGAAUUCCUGGUGUAGCGGUGAAAUGCGCAGAUAUCAGGAGGAACACCGGUGGCGAAGGCGGGGUCUCUGGGCCGAUACUGACGCUGAGGAGCGAAAAGCGUGGGGGAGCGAACAGG
rnacentral:rRNA from 1 species